GACGAACGCUGGCGGCGUGCCUAAUACAUGCAAGUUGAGCGCUGAAGGUUGGUACUUGUACCAACUGGAUGAGCAGCGAACGGGUGAGUAACGCGUGGGGAAUCUGCCUUUGAGCGGGGGACAACAUUUGGAAACGAAUGCUAAUACCGCAUAAAAACUUUAAACACAAGUUUUAAGUUUGAAAGAUGCAAUUGCAUCACUCAAAGAUGAUCCCGCGUUGUAUUAGCUAGUUGGUGAGGUAAAGGCUCACCAAGGCGAUGAUACAUAGCCGACCUGAGAGGGUGAUCGGCCACAUUGGGACUGAGACACGGCCCAAACUCCUACGGGAGGCAGCAAUAGGGAAUCUUCGGCAAUGGACGAAAGUCUGACCGAGCAACGCCGCGUGAGGGAAGAAGGUUGUCGGAUCGUAAAACUCUGUUGGUAGAGAAGAACGUUGGUGAGAGUGGAAAGCUCAUCAAGUGACGGUAACUACCCAGAAAGGGACGGCUAACUACGUG
rnacentral:rRNA from 1 species